CAGAACACACAGAGCAACAGACCAUAAGCAACAUGAAUGAGGGUCAACAGAAAUAAUGCACAACCUUUCAAGACUCCAGAUUGAAAGGCAGGACGAAGGUGGCAGCCAUUCUGCUCUUGGUCGUGCCUCUGGCAGUCACAGGUAAGUGCCAGCUCUUGCAGCAACCUGCUGGCUGUGUGAUUGGAGGUAGGGGACAUAGGUGAGCAGAGUAGCCCGAAGGUG
rnacentral:lncRNA from 1 species